rnacentral:misc_RNA from 1 species
AUUUGAAGUCAAUAGAUGUUGGUGGGAUUUCUCUUCAACUUCCAACCAGUCUGUUUGCAAAUGGAGCGAGUACAGGGACAAUAAUCGACAGUGGCACAACCUUGGCAUAUCUCCCAGAACCAGCCUAUAAUCAAUUAAUGGAUGCGAUUUUGUCCUCCCAACCAAGUCUCAGAGUGGCUCGCACUGGGCAGUUCUCAUGUUUCCGAUAUUCUGAGAGUGUUGAUGAUGGAUUUCCUUCUGUCACCUUCCAUUUUGAGAAUGCACUUUUAUUAUCGGUGUAUCCCCACGACUAUCUUUUCCAACUCGCGGACAAUCUUUGGUGUGUUGGCUGGCAGGCUUCUGG